rnacentral:rRNA from 1 species
GAAUAUAGGGGGACCACCCUCUAAGCCUAAAUACUCUUCAGUGACCGAUAGUGAACUAGUACCGUGAGGGAAAGGUGAAAAGAACCCCUAUUAGGGGAGUGAAAUAGAACCUGAAACUGCAUGCCUACAAUCAGUCCGAGCCCUUUUUAGGGUGAGGGCGUACCUUUUGUAUAAUGGGUCAGUGACUUAAUUUAUUAAGCAAGCUUAAGCCAUCUAGGUGUAGGCGCAGCGAAAGCAAGUCUUAAUAGGGCGAUUAGUUUAAUGAAUUAGACCCGAAAACGAAUGAGCUUACCAUGAGCAGGUUGAAAGUUGGGUAACACCAACCGGAGGACCGAACCAGUUGACGUUGAAAAGUCUUUGGAUGACUUGUGGUAAGGGGUGAAAGGCCAACCAAAUUCGUAGAUAGCUGGUUUUCCGCGAAAACUAUUUAGGUAGUGCGUCGAAUAAAUAGAUGUUUAGAGGUAGAGCACUAAAUGGGCUAGGGGGAAGAGAUUCUUACCAAACCUAAUAAAACUCCGAAUGCUAGACAUUGUUCUUCGGCAGACAGACUGUGGGUGCUAAGGUCCAUGGUCGAGAGGGAAAGAGCCCAGACCACCAGAUAAGGUCCCAAAAUCAUGAUUAAGUGUGAAAGGAUGUGGAAAUUCCUUAACAGCCGGGAGGUUGGCUUAGAAGCAGCCAUCCUUUAAAGAUAGCGUAACAGCUCACCGGUCUAAUAGAGUUUCUGCGCCGAAGAUGUAACGGGGCUAAAAUCAUGUACCGAAUCUGUGGCUUUGCAAAGUUUUCGAACUUUGUAAGGGGUAGCGGAACGUUCUGUAAGCCUGCGAAGGGAUACCCGUGAGGGAUCCUGGAGGUAUCAGAAGUGCGAAUGCUGACAUAAGUAACGAUAAACGAAGUGAAAAACUUCGUCGCCGAAAAUCUAAGGGUUUCUAUGCAAGGUUAAUCCGCGUAGAGUUAGUCGGCACCUAAGGCGAGGGCGAAAGCCGUAGUCGAUGGAAACAAGGUUAAUAUUCCUUGACCUGAUGGUAGUGACGGAUUUCGUAAGUUGUGAGUUCUUAAUGGAUUGAACUUGCCGCGAAGAGGUCCCAAGAAAUAGCUCCAUCAUGAAGACCGUACCCGAAACCGACACAGGUAGAUUAAUAGAGUAUAUUUAGGCGCUUGAGAGAAUGAUGUUGAAGGAACUCGGCAAAAUGCUUCCGUAACUUCGGGAUAAGGAAGACCCUUUUGUAGGCAACUAUGGAAGGGUGGCACAAGCCAGGGAGAAGCGACUGUUUAUCAAAAACACAGGGCUCUGCUAACACGUAAGUGGAUGUAUAGGGUCUGACGCCUGCCCGGUGCUGGAAGGUUAAUGCGGUUGGUGCAAGCUAACUUCUGAAGCCCCAGUAAACGGCGGCCGUAACUAUAACGGUCCUAAGGUAGCGAAAUUCCUUGUCGGGU